UUACUUAGCCGGGGAGAUACCAUGAUGAUGAAGGUGGUUUUCCUAGGGUGAAGCUUACUAUUGCACUCUGGAUGAAAUUUUAUGAGCUGCUUUUGUAGCAUAUUAUAGAAAAAAUUUGUCCCUCAAC
rnacentral:snRNA from 1 species